rnacentral:lncRNA from 1 species
AGUCAAGAAGAACAACAUGAAGGUUCAUUAUGGCGGAUAGAUGGCGAAGAGGAACAAUGCGUCAUUGAUCAAAGGUGUUAUCAAUGUUAGGGCACAAAUCAAGGGAUCCAAGUAUAAUGCUUUUAAUGAGUAAUAAAAUAUAGAUGAUGUUAACUACCAUGUCAUAAUCAUUUAAGAGAAUAAUCAUAUUACAAAUGAUUGUAACAUAAACGAAGAAAGGGAAAUUAUGGAGAUUUUAGAGGGAACACUUGGGAGAGAAACACAUGGAGAGAGAGAGGGAGAGAGA